rnacentral:rRNA from 1 species
UACGAAGGGGGCUAGCGUUGCUCGGAAUCACUGGGCGUAAAGCGCACGUAGGCGGAUUGUUAAGUCAGGGGUGAAAUCCUGGAGCUCAACUCCAGAACUGCCUUUGAUACUGGCGAUCUUGAGUCCGGGAGAGGUGAGUGGAAUUCCCGGUGUAGCGGUGAAAUGCGCAGAUAUCGGGAGGAACACCAAUGGCGAAGGCAGCUCGCUGGGACGGUACUGACGCUGAGACGCGAAAGCGUGGGGAGCAAACAGG